AGGACGAACGCUGGCGGCGUGCUUAACACAUGCAAGUCGAGCGGUAAGGCUCCUUCGGGAGUACACGAGCGGCGAACGGGUGAGUAACACGUGAGCAAUCUGCCCUUCACACUGGGAUAACCCCGGGAAACCGGGGCUAAUACCGGAUGCGACCACCGACGGCAUCGUCUGGUGGUGGAAAGUUCCGGCGGUGGAGGAUGAGCUCGCGGCCUAUCAGCUUGUUGGUGGGGUAAUGGCCUACCAAGGCUUCGACGGGUAGCCGGCCUGAGAGGGUGACCGGCCACACUGGGACUGAGACACGGCCCCAGACUCCUACGGGAGGCAGCAGUGGGGAAUAUUGGACAAUGGGCGAAAGCCUGAUCCAGCAACGCCGCGUGAGGGAUGACGGCCUUCGGGUUGUAAACCUCUUUCAGCAGGGACGAAGCGCAAGUGACGGUACCUGCAGAAGAAGCACCGGCCAACUACGUGCCAGCAGCCGC
rnacentral:rRNA from 1 species